UACAGAGGGUGCAAGCGUUAAUCGGAAUUACUGGGCGUAAAGGGCGUGUAGGUGGUUUCUUAAGUUAGAUGUGAAAGCCCUGGGCUCAACCUGGGAACAGCAUCUAAAACUGGGUAACUAGAGUAUGGUAGAGGGAAGUGGAAUUUCUAGUGUAGCGGUGAAAUGCAUAGAUAUUAGAAAGAACACCAGUGGCGAAGGCGACUUCCUGGACCAAUACUGACACUGAGGCGCGAAAGCGUGGGGAGCAAACAGG
rnacentral:rRNA from 1 species